rnacentral:rRNA from 1 species
AAGGUUAAGCCUCACGGUUCAUUAGUACCGGUUAGCUCAACGCAUCGCUGCGCUUACACACCCGGCCUAUCAACGUCGUCGUCUUCAACGUUCCUUCAGGACCCUUAAAGGGUCAGGGAGAACUCAUCUCGGGGCAAGUUUCGUGCUUAGAUGCUUUCAGCACUUAUCUCUUCCGCAUUUAGCUACCGGGCAGUGCCAUUGGCAUGACAACCCGAACACCAGUGAUGCGUCCACUCCGGUCCUCUCGUACUAGGAGCAGCCCCCCUCAGUUCUCCAGCGCCCACGGCAGAUAGGGACCGAACUGUCUCACGACGUUCUAAACCCAGCUCGCGUACCACUUUAAAUGGCGAACAGCCAUACCCUUGGGACCUACUUCAGCCCCAGGAUGUGAUGAGCCGACAUCGAGGUGCCAAACACCGCCGUCGAUAUGAACUCUUGGGCGGUAUCAGCCUGUUAUCCCCGGAGUACCUUUUAUCCGUUGAGCGAUGGCCCUUCCAUUCAGAACCACCGGAUCACUAUGACCUGCUUUCGCACCUGCUCGCGCCGUCACGCUCGCAGUCAAGCUGGCUUAUGCCAUUGCACUAACCUCCUGAUGUCCGACCAGGAUUAGCCAACCUUCGUGCUCCUCCGUUACUCUUUAGGAGGAGACCGCCCCAGUCAAACUACCCACCAGACACUGUCCGCAACCCGGAUCACGGGUCCACGUUAGAACAUCAAACAUUAAAGGGUGGUAUUUCAAGGUCGGCUCCAUGCAGACUGGCGUCCACACUUCAAAGCCUCCCACCUAUCCUACACAUCAAGGCUCAAUGUUCAGUGUCAAGCUAUAGUAAAGGUUCACGGGGUCUUUCCGUCUUGCCGCGGGUACACUGCAUCUUCACAGCGAGUUCAAUUUCACUGAGUCUCGGGUGGAGACAGCCUGGCCAUCAUUACGCCAUUCGUGCAGGUCGGAACUUACCCGACAAGGAAUUUCGCUACCUUAGGACCGUUAUAGUUACGGCCGCCGUUUACCGGGGCUUCGAUCAAGAGCUUCGCUUGCGCUAACCCCAUCAAUUAACCUUCCGGCACCGGGCAGGCGUCACACCGUAUACGUCCACUUUCGUGUUUGCACAGUGCUGUGUUUUUAAUAAACAGUUGCAGCCAGCUGGUAUCUUCGACUGAUUUCAGCUCCACGAGCAAGUCGCUUCACCUACGUAUCAGCGUGCCUUCUCCCGAAGUUACGGCACCAUUUUGCCUAGUUCCUUCACCCGAGUUCUCUCAAGCGCCUUGGUAUUCUCUACCUGACCACCUGUGUCGGUUUGGGGUACGAUUUGAUGUUACCUGAUGCUUAGAGGCUUUUCCUGGAAGCAGGGCAUUUGUUGCUUCAGCACCGUAGUGCCUCGUCAUCACGCCUCGGCCUUGAUUUUCCGGAUUUGCCUGGAAAACCAGCCUACACGCUUAAACCGGGACAACCGUCGCCCGGCCAACAUAGCCUUCUCCGUCCCCCCUUCGCAGUAACACCAAGUACAGGAAUAUUAACCUGUUUCCCAUCGACUACGCCUUUCGGCCUCGCCUUAGGGGUCGACUCACCCUGCCCCGAUUAACGUUGGACAGGAACCCUUGGUCUUCCGGCGAGCGGGCUUUUCACCCGCUUUAUCGUUACUUAUGUCAGCAUUCGCACUUCUGAUACCUCCAGCAUACCUCACAGCACACCUUCACAGGCUUACAGAACGCUCCCCUACCCAACAACGCAUAAGCGUCGCUGCCGCAGCUUCGGUGCAUGGUUUAGCCCCGUUACAUCUUCCGCGCAGGCCGACUCGACCAGUGAGCUAUUACGCUUUCUUUAAAUGAUGGCUGCUUCUAAGCCAACAUCCUGGCUGUCUGGGCCUUCCCACAUCGUUUCCCACUUAACCAUGACUUUGGGACCUUAGCUGGCGGUCUGGGUUGUUUCCCUCUUCACGACGGACGUUAGCACCCGCCGUGUGUCUCCCGUGAUAACAUUCUCCGGUAUUCGCAGUUUGCAUCGGGUUGGUAAGUCGGGAUGACCCCCUUGCCGAAACAGUGCUCUACCCCCGGAGAUGAAUUCACGAGGCGCUACCUAAAUAGCUUUCGGGGAGAACCAGCUAUCUCCCGGUUUGAUUGGCCUUUCACCCCCAGCCACAAGUCAUCCGCUAAUUUUUCAACAUUAGUCGGUUCGGUCCUCCAGUUAGUGUUACCCAACCUUCAACCUGCCCAUGGCUAGAUCACCGGGUUUCGGGUCUAUACCCUGCAACUUAACGCCCAGUUAAGACUCGGUUUCCCUUCGGCUCCCCUAUUCGGUUAACCUUGCUACAGAAUAUAAGUCGCUGACCCAUUAUACAAAAGGUACGCAGUCACACGCCUAAGCGUGCUCCCACUGCUUGUACGUACGCGGUUUCAGGUUCUUUUUCACUCCCCUCGCCGGGGUUCUUUUCGCCUUUCCUCACGGUACUGGUUCACUAUCGGUCAGUCAGGAGUAUUUAGCCUUGGAGGAUGGUCCCCCAUAUUCAGAUAGGAUACCACGUGUCCCGCCUACUCAUCGAGCUCACAGUAUGUGCAUUUUUGUGUACGGGGCUGUCACCCUGUAUCGCACGCCUUUCCAGACGCUUCCACUAACACACACACUGAUUCAGGCUCUGGGCUGCUCCCCGUUCGCUCGCCGCUACUGGGGGAAUCUCGGUUGAUUUCUUUUCCUCGGGGUACUUAGAUGUUUCAGUUCCCCCGGUUCGCCUCAUUAACCUAUGGAUUCAGUUAAUGAUAGUGUGACGAAUCACACUGGGUUUCCCCAUUCGGAAAUCGCCGGUUAUAACGGUUCAUAUCACCUUACCGACGCUUAUCGCAGAUUAGCACGUCCUUCAUCGCCUCUGACUGCCAGGGCAUCCACCGUGUACGCUUAGUCGCUUAA